rnacentral:lncRNA from 1 species
GCUAACUUUGUGAGGUAUCUAUAGAUUGAUUUUUUAUUUUUUUUACAUGAAAGUGGAAAUACCCAAAUUCAAAAUUCUGCCUCCGCCACUACCCACGUGGAGUCGGAAUUUUGACCCCGCUAACUGCAGGCUGCAUACGUGCAAUAGAACUAGAUAAUCUAGCCACAUGCAUGAUUUGUUGAUCUAGUAUUGCUUAUAAUAAACUUACUGUUUCCAGUACGAUGGUGCAUGUGUUGACACUGUUUUUGGACACGUGUCUCUAGACGCACAUCUGGAAGUAAUGGGGUGUAGAUCGGCAGGAGGAGAGAUAAUGACUGGUCUACAGGAGAAUUGCCGAUGAGGGUUGAUGCCGAUUGGAAAACAGUCGAAUAUGACCAAAUCCAGGAGUGGUGAUGCGUUCAUGCCGAUGACCAGUACUGAUGGUUGCUGAUGACUGAAAAAGGCGGUCUGCCGAUGAUUCUGAGGAAAAGCACAGGAAUUGCCGAUUAACUUGGGAUGGUAUGCCGGUCGAUCGUGGAGGGUAGUUUAAUGUUUUCCUUAGUUAUUAGAGUUCGUUUUGUAUAUGGAUUCCGUUUAUUUUGGAAUUCGAGUCCUAGUCGUGUCUGGUUGUAACUCUUUUGAUCAUGGUAUAAAUGUAGACCCCGUAGCAAUGUAUCUAUCAAUCAAUCAAUCAAUAAAAAACACAAGUUUUUACACAUAUUCCAGCAUCUACUUUUCGAUGACUUCGUCAUUAUUUUCUCUUUUACUAUGAGUUCUUAGGAAUUCGUCGAGUCAAACUCGGCGUGUUCUCAAGUUCCGCGUGAGCACCUCUUGGCCGUGACAUCCGGGCGCAUCGCUGUUGUUGGGACCAAAGUGUUCGAAGUUACCACCUUUGUCGAUUGUAAGGUCAAAUCGGCUGGCACGCCUUAACGUUAAAUCGGGUAUUAGCCCUUUGUGUUUGC